rnacentral:lncRNA from 1 species
CGGUGGAUGCACGUCUGCGCGGCGUCGCAAUGCGGCCUGCGUCAUUUUCUGGUGUUCGCGCAAUCGGUGUGAAACAUGUCGCAUGUGAAAUGUUUCAUAGAAGUGCCUCACGUCCAAGUCAAGCCGCCGUACGGGUGUACGGCUGUGCGCCCCGUUCUCGGAAGCGUCGACGGGUUUCCGGCAUGCGGAUUUCAGCGUUUGGACUCGACUUUUGGUGAAGAUGUCGAGUGACCUUGGGCCUGGUGACAGCACACCCGACAUCGCCAAAGUGCAGCCUAUCAGUUGAGUGCCUCCGAAUGGACCAUCAACAUCGGAAAAUGAAGCAGAGCCAGGGGGAAAAGGUUCCGGUAACACCAUGCAUUCAGUAUGGUGGCCCAGACGUGUAUGCAAGCAACCUCCUUCAUGUGGACCAAGAACUACUCUGCAGUGCCUCGCAGACUUCCAUGCGAAGCCCUCAACAUUCUUGUCUCAGUGGAAUGGCUGCUCAUCUAUCUGCGUGUCCAUCACCAAGACGGCCAGUUGUAAAGCUGCUGUAUCCGUUUAAGAAAGCUUAAUGAUUUUUUUAUUUAGUUUUCACGGUUGGCCGUAGAAUCUUAACAUUUUUGAUGUUUCUAACAUUUUUACCUGGCACAAAGUGGUGCAAUAACUUUAAACCAGUGCAAUGUAUUUAAGUGAUGCUCACUCUAAUGCCUAUCUGGUUUUGUUUGUGUUUAAGAAAUUUGAAUGUGUGAUGAGGUAACAGCAUUUGAAUUUGUCAUCGUGGCUCGUUUCAAUGAGCUGCUAGGAAAUAAGACGCAAAACUUAUCACACACCAGUUGUAGCAUUUUUGUUUUCAUAACUAAAGUAUACAUGUUUCAAAAGAUGGAAAGUAGGGAAAAAAACCUCAAGAACAUAAUCAUCCUAGGAUUGUCAUGUCCUUACACGUCUGCAAUGACUAAUGUCUUAUACAUCUUGGGAGCACAUUGGUCGCAAUGCCUACAGGUAUACUUGAUAAGAGAAUAGCUUGCACUCAGAUUUGCCACGCAGUGGAUGGCUGAUGGCUUUUGUUUGUCGUCUUCAUGUUACUACUAUGUAUUCAAUAUUCACUUAGAUGUGCUGCGGUUUUUUGCAGUCACCUAUAUAUAUAUAUAUAUAUAUAUAUAUAUAUAUAUAUAUA